rnacentral:misc_RNA from 1 species
GUAGAAGGCAACUUCAACUUUCCAAGCAAAUCCUGAAUGAAGGUGCUAUCAUCUUUUAAGAGAGAUACAACAAUUGCAUUGUUUGACUGGAUUAUGGAAUUAAGGUUUGCAACUAUUGCAUCAUCCAACACUCUAGGCAAAAUGGCAUCCUUCAGAUAGCCAACUCGGUAUGUUUGAUGUAUCUUCGAUAGGACUAUCGAAUCUUUAAUAGAUAUAGCCUCCUUAAAGACCACAUGCUCUUUGAGAAAAUUGCGAUGAUGAACAUGAGGAGCAUCUGGAUCAUAUUCAAGACACCCAAUAAUAUCUAUUAUCAGCUCAUCACCAAAUAUUUUUUCAAAGAUCUGAGUGUUAUUGAGC